rnacentral:rRNA from 1 species
UCCGAGUUGUAAUCUAUAGAGGCGUUUUCCGUGCCGGACCGUGUCCAAGUUCCUUGGAACAGGAUAUCAAAGAGGGUGACAAUCCCGUACUUGACACGACGACCGGUGCUCUGUGAUACGUCUUCUACGAGUCGAGUUGUUUGGGAAUGCAGCUCAAAAUGGGUGGUGAGUUCCAUCUAAAGCUAAAUAUUGGCGAGAGACCGAUAGCGAACAAGUACCGUGAGGGAAAGAUGAAAAGCACUUUGGAAAGAGAGUUAAACAGUACGUGAAAUUGUUGAAAGGGAAACGAUUGAAGUCAGUCGUGACCGAGAGGCUCAGCCGGCUCUGCCGGUGUAUUCCCCUCGGUCGGGUCAACAUCAGUUUUGUCCGGUGGAUAAGGGCGGUAGGAAGGUGGCANCCUCGGGUGUGUUAUAGCCUGCCGUCGCAUACAUCGGGUGAGACUGAGGAACGCAGCUCGCCUUUAUGGCCGGGGUUCGCCCACGUCCGAGCUUAGGAUGUUGACAUAAUGGCUUUAAACGACCCGUCUUGA